rnacentral:tRNA from 2 species
GGAUGUAGCGCAGUUUGGUAGCGCGCUUGCUUUGGGAGCAAGAUGUCGCAGGUUCGAAUCCUGUCAUCC